rnacentral:misc_RNA from 1 species
GGCAUUUUGAAAGAGGACAGAGAUUAAAACCCAAAGUUUCAAUCACCACCAUUAAGUUGAAACAUCUCUUCUAUUUGACAUUGCGUAUUGAAGUGGACAAAUUGGAACAUGCCACACCUCUUCAAAAUCAUUCUCCUCUCCUUUUUCUCAUCACUAUCACUUCUCUCUCCUUUUGAAAUUGCAGCAUCUGGUUUUUGCAAUGAAGAAAUGGCCACUCUAGAAAGAGUUCACAAAUCCAAAGUCAACACCAACAGAGUCAAGUUCAAUGGCCUCACUCACUUCAUCAUCAAAGAACACAACAAGAAAGAGAGUUUGCUAGAGUCGCAAAGGC